AUGCUCCUGGGGUGUGCGUCAGUGCUCCGGUUUUCCCCACAUUUCAUAAAAUGGAGCCCGGGUCCGCUGGUGGAUGUCAUGCCCCCGUCGUGAGACGCCAGGGGACGGCAGAAGCACGCGGCAGGGCACCAGCCUGCUUAACAUAGCGGGUGAAAAAACGGAGUGCAACGGCACUUUGGGGCAUU
rnacentral:other from 1 species